CAAAUACUUCCUCCGUCCGGAAAUACUUGUCGAAAAAAUGGAUGUACUUAGACGUAUUUUAGUUCUAGAUACAUUUAUUUUUAUCCAUUUCUCCGACAAGUAUUUCGGGACGGAGGGAGUAGGUU
rfam:Triticum aestivum genome assembly, contig: Triticum_aestivum_CS42_TGACv1_scaffold_273457_3DS